GCGUGAGCGAUGAAGGUCUUCGGAUCGUAAAAGCUCUGUGGGGGGAGAAGAAGAAAGUCGGUGAAGAGCCGGCCCUGACGGUAUCCCCUUAGCAAGCACCGGCUAACUCCGUGCCAGCAGCCGCGGUAAUACGGAGGGUGCAAACGUUGCUCGGAAUCAUUGGGCGUAAAGCGCGCGUAGGCGGCUGAACAAGUUGGAUGUGAAAGCCCUGGGCUCAACCUAGGAUGUGCAUUCAAAACUGUUCGGCUUGAGUCUCGGAGGGGGUCAGAGAAUUCUCGGUGUAGAGGUGAAAUUCGUAGAUAUCGGGAGGAACACCAGUGGCGAAGGCGCUGACCUGGACGAUGACUGACGCUGAGGCGCGAAAGCGGUGGGGAGCAAACAGGAUUAGAUACCUGGUAGUCCACGCCGUAACGAUGAGUGCUAGACGC
rnacentral:rRNA from 1 species